rnacentral:lncRNA from 1 species
GGACUUACUUCUCUCUACAGUGCCCAGGAGGCAGUUUUCAGUCAGUAAUGGCCAUUUUCUUGGUCCCUCCAGCUACAUCAAAUACAAUUCCACUUUUAUUUCCCAUUUCUGUACAAGCAGGACAGUUUACAACAUGGCUGAAACGAAUCUAGCUGCUUUGCUCCACUUUCAAUGUUUAGCAAGAAAAUCUUUUCCCUAAAGCAGUCCUUAUCUAUUAUGGACAUGUUUAAUCUGUCAACAUAUGUCUUUUUUUGAGAGGUCAACACACGUCUUUUGUCCUUAAAAUAGUCCCCGAAGGAAGGGGGAUUCUUAGAUGAACAGAUAUCUUCCAGUGGAUAAGAAGCUCUGUUACUAUUUCUGAAAAAAAAGAAAAAAAAAAACCAAUGUAAGACUCCAUGCAUGUUGUGUUCUCAGAUAGUGAGAUACUUUGGGUUUUCCAUUGAGCUUAAAAACCUCUAAAACCUGACCAUGUUUUAAGGUUUGAUGCAGGAGGCAGACACUCAGCAGUCAUUAGUCUUCUGCUAAUUACCAGAUUGUGAAGGAAUUCAGAUGUGCUCAGUAAAGAUGGAGGAGAAAUCUCUGAUCCCUCCUACUGUCACAUCAUUUUGCUGAUUUUGGUGAAGCUGCUUUUAAUUAAUUAAGUGAAAGGAGCCUCUUUAAGGUUCCCACUAUAAAAUCUCACUUGAUUCCUCAUAAAUAAUGUCUCUAGAGCUCAUUCAUAGUAAUAAAAAUAUAUAGUGUGCUGAUUAAAACUGUUGUAAUUUAUAACCAUUAAAACCUCAAUUUAAAGACAUAUUAAGGGGCAAAAUUCUUUGACCAUGACACUCUAGUUUGCAUUUCAUUACAAACUAAAAAUUCAGGAGCUGAGAUUACCACGUACUUGCAAAGAACAAUCAAACUCAAUGACAUGAUUUUCCUAUCCUUCUAUGUUGGGAGCAAACUUUUCCCUGAAGAAAAAAAAAAAAAAAAACCAAAACAAAAACAAAAACAAAAACAAAAACAAAGAAAAAGGAAAAAAAAAAGGCAGUAACACUAUUUUUCAUAGAUUUGCAAAGAGAUUGUCAAGGCGAGGUCCAGCCAGGAGAGCAAAUAAUCCACCCCAGUGUCCAUGAUGAUGACGAUUGAGAUGGUCACCACAGUAAUUUUUAAAACGAAGGUUCACUUUUCUGGUUCAUGUCAAGAGUCUGAAAGAGAAGGAAAUUGCAAACUCCACAACCAGCCCCACGCCUGGUCCUUCACCCCAUCAAGCUCUUCCUGUCCUUCUAAUGAUAAUGAGCACAGGGAUGCCCAACUCUUUGUAAGAGGGAACCUGAUGUCUUAGAGCAACCACCCUUUUGCAAUGUCUCUUUCAAAGCAAUCCCUUUGCUUAGUCUCAGACUAAGGAGCAUUUCACAGGUUUUUGCCUGUUCUGGCAGUUCAUGAGCAGCCCACAGCAUGCAGGAGCAAAACCCCUGCAUUAAAAAUACCAGAGCCAAAAGUGGUAUUUCACAUAUUCUGGGCUGAGUUGGCCAAAUGUCUGAAUAGCAAAAGCAGCACAAAAUUCCAUGCAAGGUUCCGUGCCUGCUUCUC